UUUCUUUUUUGGAGUUAUUUGAGGCCGUGUACAAGCCUCCCAGCUUAUGUCUCCAACUUCUGAAAUAUUUGAAUGUGGGCAACUUUAGCAUCUGACAAUGGCAGCCCGAAGUGAUUGCCUUACUGAGUGCAACCUGCAAAAGUAAAGAAAGACCCAUCAGGUUUCAGGCUGGAGAUUUUCUUGUCUGCUCAGAAGAGCAGGUUAAAAUUAGCAUCAUCAGGAUCUAGGGCAGAAAUCAGCGGGAUGUGGGCAUCACUGGCUAGGCUAUCCCAGAGGGCAGUUCAGAAUCAAUCACAUUGCUGUGGGUCUGGAAUCACAUGUAGGCAAGACCAGGAUAAGGUGGUGCAUAGUAGAAGCAAGCAACAGAGAUGGACGAGGACACCAGCAGCUCGUGUGCCCUCAUGAGAGCAGCUGCAGUGGGGUCUGUGGCAUCAAUGAUGCUGCAGAUAUUGAGAAUGGUAGUGUGUUCCUGCUUUAAGCUCCUUCUCAACUCCCAGCACACAAUAAUCUUGAUAUCUGGCAUGGAGUGUAAGCUGUUGAUGUUAUGACCUUAACUCUCUUGUUUGUCACCCAAUCUCAUUAAACUCACUUGAGGUGUAAGGUGUUAGCCUGAA